rnacentral:lncRNA from 1 species
UUUAUUUUAAAGGCUUUAUUUAAUAAAGCCCAUUACGUUUCAUUUAAUAAAGCCUCAUUUGAAGGCUUUAUUGUAAUAAGUUUAAAUCUUAUAAGCCUCUCCUUAUAAGUCUUUGAAACCCUAGCCGUUUUAUAAGUCCUCUCCACUUUCUUUUCUUUUUCAGUUCUUCUCCUCCACAUUUCCUCCAUAUUUCUUUGACUCUCCACCAUUAGAAUUUUUUUCCUUCUUCUUCUCCUUCACAUUUCUUUGAUUCUCCACCAUCUGAAUUUUUUCUUCUUCUUUUCCUCCACAUUUGAUAUAACAGGGAUA